ACUUCCGUUGAGCUGUAAAAUCAGGAAGGAUGCUGGAGGGUUGGGUUUCCACUAGUUACCACAGCCACAGAGUCAAAAUGGACUAUAUCGUUAAAAAAACGUUUUUUGGGGCUACAUUUAAGGUGAGGCAUAAAGUUAGCAGUGUGGUUAGAGUUAGGUUUAAAAUCAGAUUGUACGAAUAACAAUUGUAGAAAUGGGCGGGGUGUAGCCAUAAUUAUGACUUUGUGGUUGUGGUAACUAGUGACGACCAGAGGUUUAAUGUACAGCCAAAGAUACUCCAUUCUCUACUAUCUCUGAUACAGUUUAUCUGUGACAAAAUGUCGAUGACAACUAUGUAGAAGGUUACUCUGAUUUUCUGCUCUGUCCUCUGUGUUUCGUUUUUCCUUCCCUAAAUAAUUUUCCCGAGAGGGAAGAAUGAUGUAGGGCAGCCCGAGGUUGGUCCUGGGUAUUAUCCUCCCAUGAUGCAUCGCCUACAGAUGCCAGAGGAGGGCCUCGGACAGUGGAUGGAGGGGACUCAUGACUCUGGGCCCCACAGCCCUGAGGUCCUGGCUAAAGUCAAAGGCAUGGGCACACUUCAGAUCCGAGGAGCCACUAAAUCCAAUCGGAUCAGCCAGGCCAUUCCCAUCUACGGAUUUGGAAUCCUACUCUACAUCCUCUUCAUCAUAUUCUAGAUAAGCUGCACAAUGUCCACCCUAGACUGGCUCAGUCAAAUGGAUAGACAAACUAUUUAGAGGCAGGAAUGUAGAAGAAGUAGACUAUUACAGUUUUUAACAGCAUCCAUGUAAUACCUGUACUGGCUAGGAGUCCAGUGCAUCCAGUACAUUACAAGGUGUGCAUACCAUAAAUGCAUUGUUGUAUUCACAGAUGACAACUAGGCCUAAAGGAAAAAGUACUAAACUGGUAUGCCAAUUUCCUACAAUGACAUUUGAAGCUUGGCAGAAGAGGAGGAAUGAUGAGCUGGCCCAGCUUCAGGAGAAGCUGCUGGAGACAGAGGGUGAAGUAGAGGAUCGUCUCCAGAAGGAGCAGCACUCCUAACAGCACGACUAGCAGCAAGGUUAGAAGAGCAUCCAAGCAGGAGAAGUUACUGCGGAAGCGGAGUAAGAUCAGCCGGGUAAUGCAGGAGGUACGACUGAUGGAGGGGGCCACACCUGAGAUGGUGCCCUAUGCUGCUGACUGAGAGGGCUACCCUGAGGAGACCUACCCCCAGUAUAAGGAGCCCGGAGGCAGGCGCAGCGGCAGUUAUGACCCCAUCACCAUCCUGGAGGAGCCUGCUGCUGACUCAGAUACCCACUGCCGAGGCCCUGGCUGAGGAGGUGGUGGAUGAGGACACAGAGGAGGAGGAGGAGCAGUAGCUCUGUCCGCCCCCACCUCCUGAAGGAGGAAUGGAAGAAACGGGUAGUAGUCCCACCAGAGUAAAAAAGCUAAAUCAGAUUCAGCGACCACAAAGAUGUGUUUCACUACCCUAAGCAGGAUACGGUCUAUGAAUAUAGGUAUGAAGAGGAGAAGGAAGAGAGGAGGAGGAAGAGGAGCAAGUGGAUGAGAGAGGAAGAGGGAGUAGUAGGUGAUGAAGACCCACUGAUGGAGGCCGAGUCUCUCAGUUUUAGUUGUGAUGUCUAGUAAUCCAGAAGCAGAAGAAGAGAUGGAAGAAGAGUACAUUCUACUGUCUCAGUCUGAAGAGACAGACAGCUUCACCCCACCAGAUAGGUCUGGGGAGCUGGGGAUUGGGAGUUCUCUCAGGUUGAGGAACAGGAGAGAGAGACAGAGGGCAGAGUCAAUGAGGAAACUAGUUCAUCCUAAACUUGCCUCUCUAGCCCUUUGACCUUACUGAAUGUUCUGAAUAUUCCCAAGAAUGUACCUCUCCUUAUGCAGAUCCCCGUUUUCUAUCCUGUCUCCUUGCGUCCCAAGACAGAAUAUGCUGUUCAGUGGGUGAAUUUUGUGAUCCUAACUAGACUACCUAAUACCCUAAUAUUCAUGCUGCUUUAAAGAAAACCAUUUACCCACAAUUCAUCAUGUCCUUUGAUGGUAGACAUCAAACUGACUAACUUUAUUCCAAUAUGGCAGUCAAGCAUUGUAGAGACCCUGGUGUCCUCUGGGAUAGAUUGUAAACAGAGAGAGAGCAGGGACCCACAUAAAUGAGUAAACAGAGGUAGAUCGUUCAAGUCCAGCUUUUGUAUCUCAGACUAUUAAAGAGGACACAUUCUAUUAAAAGGUCAUAUGAAAAAUAUUUUUUCAAACCAGCAACUAUUAAGCCCAGAAUGUAUUCGUAAUAAAAAAUGAAUUGUCCAUGAGUUGUA